AUGACUAGAUAUUUAGUGGGCAUGGAGGGGAAGAUAUUUUCUAGUUAAGAAUUUAAACAUUUGUCUUAAAUAUGUGAAAAGUGUUUGUAAAUCAUUAAAAACUUCCUAUAUGGAAUUGAACUCUUGGUACUCAGUUAACUUCCAAAGAUAUUGGUAGUUGGUUUAGGAAUUGGGAAGUAGCAACUCAUGUUCAUAGUGUUUUAGAUAAUUAUAAAGUACAUUUAAUAGGACAUUUGCUAUUAUUGAUGGGUUUAGUUUUUCAGUCCUAAAAUUGGCUUGAAGUGUGAAAUAAUCAUUCUUAAAUUUCAGUAAUUGCUACAGGAUGUUGGAAAUACCCAUCAAAAGGUCAUUGUUUCUUGAGUGUUGGAUUCUAGUCUGAACUUGGGCUUAGUUACCAGAUAUAUAAGUACAGAAAUGGUUGAACUUUGCAUUGUUCAGUAGAAUGUACUAUCCAGUAAAAAUUAAAAAUAUGUGAAAUUCACCUAAGUCCAGUUAGGCACUUUCCAUCACUCCGUAUGUACUUUUUGUUCUUAUUUGCAAACAGUAGCUAGAGAUGGUGUUGACCUACCCUGAAUUAGAUGUUGAAGGCAAACUUUGCCUUCAGUAGUGCUUGGUGUCAAGAUGCCUUGUGAUUGUGUCUCACCUCUGGGUACUUACCUGUGUCUUUGCUGUUUAUGGUGGUACAUAACUACACUUUCAGUACCUAGACCUUCUAUCUUCCCUGGCUGGCUCGGGAGGCUUGUGCUGUCUUUUCAAGCUGUUCUUUCACUUUAAUGUUCUAUUGGAAUUAAGCAAGAAUAGAACCAAGUGCAUUGGUUCUGUUCUGAGAAUGUAACAUUCUUCAAUCCAGAAAGAAGGAAAAUUUUCUUUUCUUCAGUGGAAAUAGUGUGUCUUUGUAGCUUUUGGAACUUUUUUUGUUUGCUAUUUAUAAUUCCCUAUUACCUUACUUAGCUCAUUUAAAAAAUGUAGUUGCUUGACCACUUCAGGACUAUUGAUUUCCUGGCGAUAGAAUCUACAUACAUGAAGACUUUUUGCAUCAUAAGACAGUUGUCUUAUAUCAUCUCAGUAAAUUUAAGAAGGCUUCAUGUCAUCUAGCAGUAUGGGUUAGAUUUUAAGAAACACGUUGUGAACAAAUGGUACUCUCAGAUUUAAUGUGGAAAAACAGAAUUUUGAAGUUUUUUAAUGCUGCUGAUUAAAAUUUACCUCAUUUUGUAGUCUUAUCUUUAUGUCUUUUUCUUGGGAAAAUAAAAUGUAAAAUUCUGUUUAAUAAUACAUUAAUGCUUUUGGGGGGUUAUCCUAGAGGUUUUAGUUUAACUUUCUCUAUGUAAUCCUGAUCUGUCUAAAAUAUUUUUAUUUAAUUGCUCUGGUUUUAAACUGCCAUUUAAAAAAGGUAAUGUACU
rnacentral:lncRNA from 1 species